UACGUAGGGUGCAAGCGUUAAUCGGAAUUACUGGGCGUAAAGCGUGCGCAGGCGGUUGUGCAAGACCGAUGUGAAAUCCCCGGGCUUAACCUGGGAAUGGCAUUGGUGACUGCACGGCUAGAGUGUGUCAGAGGGGGUAGAAUUCCACGUGUAGCAGUGAAAUGCGUAGAGAUGUGGAGGAAUACCGAUGGCGAAGGCAGCCCCCUGGGAUAACAC
rnacentral:rRNA from 1 species